UGGGGAAUAUUGCACAAUGGGCGCAAGCCUGAUGCAGCAACGCCGCGUGAACGAUGAAGGUCUUCGGAUCGUAAAGUUCUGUUGCAGGGGAAGAUAAUGACGGUACCCUGUGAGGAAGCCCCGGCUAACUACGUGCCAGCAGCCGCGGUAAUACGUAGGGGGCUAGCGUUAUCCGGAUUUACUGGGCGUAAAGGGUGCGUAGGUGGUCUUUUAAGUCAGGGGUGAAAUCCCGGGGCUCAACCCCGGAACUGCCUUUGAUACUGGAAGUCUUGAGUAUGGUAGAGGUGAGUGGAAUUCCGAGUGUAGAGGUGAAAUUCGUAGAUAUUCGGAGGAACACCAGUGGCGAAGGCGGCUCACUGGACCAUUACUGACGCUGAGGUGCGAAAGCGUGGGGAGCAAACAGG
rnacentral:rRNA from 1 species